UACGAAGGGAGCUAGCGUUGUUCGGAAUCACUGGGCGUAAAGCGCACGUAGGCGGAUUUGUCAGUCAGGGGUGAAAUCCCGGGGCUCAACCUCGGAAUUGCCUUUGAUACAGCAAGUCUUGAGUUCGAGAGAGGUGGGUGGAAUUCCUAGUGUAGAGGUGAAAUUCGUAGAUAUUAGGAAGAACACCGGUGGCGAAGGCGGCCCACUGGCUCGAUACUGACGCUGAGGUGCGAAAGCGUGGGGAGCAAACAGG
rnacentral:rRNA from 1 species